GCGUGCGAGCCCCGCCGACUCCUCCCGGCCGCGCCCGGCGGGGACGAGGGGAAGGCGCCGGCGGGCGGCCAGCGUCCUGGCCCAUGUCUGCGGACCGACCCGGUGACUGACAAGGUACCAGCCGCCCAGGUGCGUGCCCGCAGCGACAAGGCCGCCUCUCCCGCGGGGGCUUCCGAAAAGCCGCCAGACCGGAGGGGAACCAGCCAGCUCAGUACCUUAAGAGGAGUUGAGCAGAAGAAUGGGCACUAUUUUACUUGAACAUAAAGAACCAUUCAGCGAAUGAACUUUUAUUCAGCACGAGCAAUUAUCCUAAAUAUAACUUGAGCAAAGAUUUUGAAAAGUUGAAAACUUUGUUCAUUCAACCUAAGCAAAGAAGCGAAGAAAACCUCAGAGAGG